rnacentral:rRNA from 1 species
GGAAGUAAAAGUCGUAACAAGGUCUCCGUUGGUGAACCAGCGGAGGGAUCAUUACCGAGUUGCAAAACUCCCAAACCCACUGUGAACCGAAUACCACUGUUGCUUCGGCGGACACGCCCCGGGCGCACCUCCUCACGGGGGUGUGCCCCGGAACCAGGCGCCCGCCGGGGGACCAAAACCUUCUGUAUUUUCCAUUUGAGUACUCUGAGUGUGAUUUACAAAAUCAAAAUUAAAACUUUCAACAACGGAUCUCUUGGCUCUAGCAUCGAUGAAGAACGCAGCGAAAUGCGAUAAGUAAUGCGAAUUGCAGAAUUCAGUGAAUCAUCGAAUCUUUGAACGCACAUUGCGCCCGCCAGUAUUCUGGCGGGCAUGCCUGUCUGAGCGUCGUUUCGACCCUCGCUCCCGGCUUCUGUCGGGGGCGGUGUUGGGGAUCGGCCACACCCCUAACCGGGAGGCCGGCCCCUAAAUUCAGUGGCGACCACGCUGUAGCCUCCCCUGCGUAGUACUAAAACCACCUCGCAGGCGGAGAGCGGUGCGGCCCGCCGUAAAACCCCCAACUUUUACAAGGUCGACCUCAGAUCAGGUAGGAAUACCCGCUGAACUUAAGCAUAUCAAUAAGCGGAGGA